rnacentral:rRNA from 1 species
CUUGACACUGAACAUUGAGCCUUGAUGUGUAGGAUAGGUGGGAGGCUUUGAAGCUUGGACGCCAGUCUGCGUGGAGCCAACCUUGAAAUACCACCCUUUAAUGUUUGAUGUUCUAACGUUGGCCCCUUACCGGGGUUGCGGACAGUGUCUGGUGGGUAGUUGGACUGGGGCGGUCUCCUCCCAAAGCGUAACGGAGGUGCACGAAG